rnacentral:rRNA from 1 species
UACGGAGGGGGCAAGCGUUAUUCGGAAUUAUUGGGCGUAAAGGGCGCGUAGGCGGCUAGAUGUGUCAAAGGUGAAAUCCCUCGGCUCAACUGAGGAACUGCCUUUGAGACUGUCUGGCUUGAGGCCGGGAGAGGGUAGCGGAAUUCCCAGUGUAGCGGUGAAAUGCGUAGAUAUUGGGAGGAACACCAGUGGCGAAGGCGGCUACCUGGACCGGUUCUGACGCUGAGGCGCGAAAGCGUGGGUAGCAAACAGG